CAGUAGCCGCGGUAAUACGUAGGGUGCGAGCGUUAAUCGGAAUUACUGGGCGUAAAGCGUGCGCAGGCGGUCCGCUAAGACAGAUGUGAAAUCCCCGGGCUUAACCUGGGAACUGCAUUUGUGACUGGCGGGCUAGAGUAUGGCAGAGGGGGGUAGAAUUCCACGUGUAGCAGUGAAAUGCGUAGAGAUGUGGAGGAAUACCGAUGGCGAAGGCAGCCCCCUGGGCCAAUACUGACGCUCAUGCACGAAAGCGUGGGGAGCAAACAGGAUUAGAUACCCGUGUAGUCCCUGUCUCUUAUAC
rnacentral:rRNA from 1 species